rnacentral:rRNA from 1 species
UCCUUCGACGAGUCGAGUAGUUUGGGAAUGCUGCUCUAAAUGGGAGGUAAAUUUCUUCUAAAGCUAAAUACCGGCCAGAGACCGAUAGCGCACAAGUAGAGUGAUCGAAAGAUGAAAAGUACUUUGAAAAGAGGGUUAAAUAGCACGUGAAAUUGUUGAAAGGGAAGCGUUUGCGACCAGACUUUUUCCAGGCGGAUCAUCCGGUGUUCUCACCGGUGCACUUCGCCUGGUUUAGGCCAGCAUCGGUUCUCUUAGGGGGAUAAAGGCCUGGGGAACGUAGCUCCUUCGGGAGUGUUAUAGCCCCUAGCGUAAUACCCUUCGGGGGACCGAGGAACGC